GAGUUUGAUCCUGGCUCAGGAUGAACGCUAGCGGCAGGCCUAAUACAUGCAAGUCGGACGGGAUUGAGGAGCUUGCUUCUCAUGAGAGUGGCGCACGGGUGCGUAACACGUAUGUAACCUACCUUCACCAGGGGGAUAGCCUCUCGAAAGAGAGAUUAAGACCGCAUAAUAUUAUUGAAUAGCAUUAUUUAAUAAUCAAAUAUUUAUAGGGUGAAGAUGGGCAUGCGGAACAUUAGCUAGUUGGUAAGGUAAUGGCUUACCAAGGCUACGAUGUUUAGGGGAUCUGAGAGGAUGACCCCCCACACUGGUACUGAGACACGGACCAGACUCCUACGGGAGGCAGCAGUAAGGAAUAUUGGUCAAUGGGCGGAAGCCUGAACCAGCCAUGCCGCGUGCAGGAAGACGGCCCUACGGGUUGUAAACUGCUUUUAUACCGGAAUAAACCUAUCUACGUGUAGAUAGCUGAAUGUACGGUAAGAAUAAGGAUCGGCUAACUCCGUGCCAGCAGCCGCGGUAAUACGGAGGAUCCAAGCGUUAUCCGGAUUUAUUGGGUUUAAAGGGUGCGUAGGUGGCCUGUUAAGUCAGGGGUGAAAGACGGUAGCUCAACUAUCGCAGUGCCCUUGAUACUGAUGGGCUUGAAUGAACUAAAGGUAGGCGGAAUGUGACAAGUAGCGGUGAAAUGCAUAGAUAUGUCACAGAACACCAAUUGCGAAGGCAGCUUACUAUGGUUUGAUUGACACUGAGGCACGAAAGCGUGGGGAUCAAACAGGAUUAGAUACCCUGGUAGUCCACGCCCUAAACGAUGAAUACUCGAUGGUGGCGAAUUACGGUCAGCGUCUAAGCGAAAGCGUUAGGUAUUCCACCUGGGGAAGACCCCCGCAGGGUGAAACUCAAGGAAUUGACGGGGGCCCGCACAACGGAGGA
rnacentral:rRNA from 1 species